rnacentral:rRNA from 1 species
GGGUUGUGAGGUUAAGCGACUAAGCGUACACGGUGGAUGCCCUGGCAGUCAGAGGCGAUGAAGGGCGUGCUAAUCUGCGAUAAGCGCCGGUAAGGUGAUAUGAACCGUUAUAACCGGCGAUACCCGAAUGGGGAAACCCAGUGUGACUCGUCACACUAUCAUUAACUGAAUCCAUAGGUUAAUGAGGCGAACCGGGGGAACUGAAACAUCUAAGUACCCCGAGGAAAAGAAAUCAACCGAGAUUCCCCCAGUAGCGGCGAGCGAACGGGGAGGAGCCCAGAGCCUGAAUCAGCAUGUGUGUUAGUGGAAGCGUCUGGAAAGGUGCGCGAUACAGGGUGACAGCCCCGUACACAAAAGCGCAUGUGCUGUGAGCUCGAUGAGUAGGGCGGGACACGUGGUAUCCUGUCUGAAUAUGGGGGGACCAUCCUCCAAGGCUAAAUACUCCUGACUGACCGAUAGUGAACCAGUACCGUGAGGGAAAGGCGAAAAGAACCCCGGCGAGGGGAGUGAAAAAGAACCUGAAACCGUGUACGUACAAGCAGUGGGAGCCCCACCACCAAAGCAUUCUCUGGUGUUGAAGGCCCUGCAAAGCAGCAUCGCGGUGGCGGAGCGUCGUUUGCGACGCCCAACACACAAAACAAGCGGUGAAUGCUUUGGGGUGGGGUGACUGCGUACCUUUUGUAUAAUGGGUCAGCGACUUAUAUUCUGUAGCAAGGUUAACCG